CAGGAAGUAUCCGAGAAAGAAACAAAGCACCUCCGUGAUAUUUCAUGAAAGCGCACGGCUUCAUAGGCACGUAUAGCCUAUCAGUGGUUUGGAGAUCCUUCCCAGUUUCCCACAAGAAACCCCAAGAGAUCGGGAACAAACGAAAUAGAUAACUGAAAAACGCGAAUUGAUAGUGGGAGAAAAUAGCUUCUUUUUGGAUCUCAUCUUCUUGUUGUAGGAUGCAAGGCUUGGGGUCUACCUAAAAACUACAAACCAAAAACGCUUGCGCUCGAUUCUGCCUUAAAAGUCGCAUAGCGCCACCACCAG